rnacentral:rRNA from 1 species
UGGUGGAGCGAUUUGUCUGGUUUAUUCCGAUAACGAACGAGACUCUGGCCUACUAAAUAGUGGGCGGAUUCAGUCUGUCCGCAACACUUCUUAGAGGGACAAGCGGUGUUCAGCCGCACGAGAUUGAGCAAUAACA